rnacentral:rRNA from 1 species
GACGAACGCUGGCGGCGUGCUUAACACAUGCAAGUCGAACGAAGUGGCGAACGGGUGAGUAACGCGUAAUCAACCUGCCCUUCAGAGGGGGACAACAGUUGGAAACGACUGCUAAUACCGCAUACUGAAGGCGGGGCUUGCGUCGGAUUAGCUAGUUGGAGGGGUAACGGCCCACCAAGGCGAUGAUCAGUAGCCGGUGUGAGGGGAUGAACGGGCAAAAUGGGACUGAGACACGGCCCAGACUCCUACGGGAGGCAGCAGUGGGGAAACGUCCGCAAUUGACGAAAGUCUGACGAAGCAACGCCGCGUUAGUGAUGACGGCCUUCGGGGUGUAAAGCUCUGUUAAUCGGGACGCGGUACCGGAAUAGAAAGCCACGGCUAACUACGUGCCAGCAGCCGCGGUAAUUC